rnacentral:lncRNA from 1 species
AGAUCUUUGCUGUUAGAAAGCAGUUGUUAAUCAAAUGCAUGCACAGAUCACAUACACCCCCGAACAUGCAUAAAUAUGAUGCAGAUUUUUAUGGAUGUAUUAUAACUCAUUUAUUGUAGUGUUUGUGAGUUUGUUUUCAUGUUUGCUCUGUGUGUGUUUUUCUAGAUUAGAGCUGCCUAAAAUUGGAAAACGUGGGCGACUAAGAAAAAGAUUAAGAGGUUUUUGGAGAAAGCUUUGCUCAUGCACUUAUAGCAAUGACAUAGAGAGUGGAGGGGCCUUUUCAGGAAUACAGACCUGGAAGUAGGAGAGUAGAAGGCAAUGAGUCACCAGAUGACAAUAAAAUGGUGAGGGUAACUGUAAGACAACAGGGCCAGUGAGGACACUGGGGAUAGUGAGAGUCACCACAAGACAUUGAGGCCAGUGAGGUUCAUCAAAAGACACAGGGGCCAGUGAGAGUCACCACAAGACAUUGAGGCCAGUGAGGUUCAUCAAAAGACACAGGGGCCAGUGAGAGUCACCACAAGACAUUGAGGCCAGUGAGGUUUAUCAAAAGACACCGGGGCCAGUGAGAGUCACCACAAGACAUUGAGGCCAGUGAGGUUCAUCAAAAGACACCGGGGCCAGUGAGAGUCACCACAAGACAUUGAGGCCAGUGAGGUUCAUCAAAAGACACCGGGGCCAGUGAGAGUCACCACAAGACAUUGAGGCCAGUGAGGUUCAUCAAAAGACACCGGGGCCAGUGAGAGUCACCACAAGGCACCCGGGGGCAGUGAGAGUCACCACAAGACACCGGGGGCAGUGAGAGUCACAACAAGGCACCGGGGCCAGUGAGAGUCACCACAAGACACUGGGGCCAGUGAGAGUCACCACAAGACACUGGGGGCAGUGAGAGUCACCACAAGACACUGGGGCCAGUGAGAGUCACCACAAGACACUGGGGCCUGCACUGGGGCCAGUGAGAGUCACCACAAGGCACUGGGGGCAGUGAGAGUCACCACAAGACACCGGGGCCAGUGAGAGUCACCACAAGACACCGGGGCCAGUGAGAGUCACCACAAGGCACAGGGGGCAGUGAGAGUCACCACAAGACAUUGAGGCCAGUGAGAGUCACCAAAAGACACUGGGGGCAGUGAGAGUCACCACAAGACACCGGGGGCAGUGAGAGUCACCACAAGACACCGGGGGCAGUGAGAGUCACCACAAGACACCGGGGGCAGUGAGAGUCACCACAAGACACCGGGGGCAGUGAGAGUCACCACAAGACACCGGGGGCAGUGAGAGUCACCACAAGACACUGGGGGCAGUGAGAGUCACCACAAGACACCGGGGGCAGUGAGAGUCACCACAAGACACUGGGGGCAGUGAGAGUCACCACAAGACAUUGAGGCCAGUGAGAGUCACCACAAGACAUCAGGGCCAGUGAGAGUCACCACAAGGCACUGGGGGCAGUGAGAGUCACCACAAGACACCGGGGGCAGUGAGAGUCACAACAAGGCACCGGGGCCAGUGAGAGUCACCACAAGACACUGGGGCCAGUGAGAGUCACCACAAGACACUGGGGCCUGCACUGGGGCCAGUGAGAGUCACCACAAGACACUGGGGCCAGUGAGAGUCACCACAAGACACUGGGGCCUGCACUGGGGCCAGUGAGAGUCACCACAAGGCACUGGGGGCAGUGAGAGUCACCACAAGACACCGGGGCCAGUGAGAGUCACCACAAGGCACAGGGGCCAGUGAGAGUCACCACAAGACAUUGAGGCCAGUGAGAGUCACCACAAGACAUUGAGGCCAGUGAGAGUCACCACAAGACACCGGGGCCAGUGAGAGUCACCACAAGACACCGGGGCCAGUGAGAGUCACCACAAGGCACUGGGGGCAGUGAGAGUCACCACAAGACACUGGGGGCAGUGAGAGUCACCACAAGACAUUGAGGCCAGUGAGAGUCACCACAAGACAUCAGGGCCAGUGAGAGUCACCACAAGGCACUGGGGGCAGUGAGAGUCACCACAAGACACCGGGGGCAGUGAGAGUCACCACAAGACACCGGGGGCAGUGAGAGUCACCACAAGACACCGGGGGCAGUGAGAGUCACCACAAGACACCGGGGGCAGUGAGAGUCACCACAAGACACCGGGGCCAGUGAGAGUCACCACAAGACACCGGGGGCAGUGAGAGUCACCACAAGACAUUGGGGCCAGUGAGGGUCACCACAAGACACUGGGGGCAGUGAGAGUCACCACAAGACACCGGGGGCAGUGAGAGUCACCACAAGACACCGGGGGCAGUGAGAGUCACCACAAGACACCGGGGGCAGUGAGAGUCACCACAAGACACCGGGGCCAGUGAGAGUCACCACAAGACACCGGGGGCAGUGAGAGUCACCACAAGACAUUGGGGCCAGUGAGGGUCACCACAAGACACUGGGGGCAGUGAGAGUCACCACAAGACAUCAGGGCCAGCAAUGGUCACCACAAGACAUCAGGGCCAGUCAGGUUCCAUUUUAAAGACACAGACAAGAUAGAUGCUGAUGUUGAAUCAGCUGACUCAGUUAAAGCUUGUCAUCUUUAAUAAAUUUCGGAUUAUAUUUUUCAUCAUUUGUUCUGUAGACAUUGUUUAUUUUGUGUGUCCAGUCAGGUUGAAUUAAAAAAAAUUCUGCACUCAAUUGACUGUUAAUAAAGUGUUUGACUGACAUCAGAGUCGAUCAUAACUCAAAAAUCCACCGGCUUGUCCGGCAAACAAUUCAGACAGGAGGGUAGAUCAACAUUGGUGGACUUAAACUUGAAAAAUUCUGCGUAUUGACAUCUUACUGGGGCUGAAAUAAAAUACGUUCUGAUGUUUGUUCAUGUUUAUUUCAUGCUUUAAGAAAAUACGAUCUGUUCAUGUGUGUCACUUGAACUGAGAUGCUACAGUGAUCUGUCAUGACAUUGAAGAGCCAC